AGCUCCAAAGUCCCUUGGAAUUUCCUGACGAGAGCAAUAAACAUCAAUAAAUAUCAAUGACAGCAAGAAACAUCAACCAACUUUGGAAAGUACCUAAGGGUGAGGGCUGGUUGCCAGAAGAACCAACCCUGUGAUCCAAGGGUUGAAAUUUCCCUACUACCUACCUGACCUCUAGACAAGAUGUUCACCUGUAUGCAGGGAGGACUACAUUGCCUUAUCAGGAGAACCCAGCAGGACCUGAUGUUAUACACAUGCACUCUGAUAUCUUCCUGGUGGGGAUGUAACUGGACACAACCACUUGAGAGAAGAAUUCGGGAAAGUGGACUACUGAAGCUGAACAUGCAUGCACCUUGACCAGAGUUCCAUUCCUACGGAGGAAACUGAACAUACACGUGAGCAGCACCGUCAUUAGAUGCACCACAGUUGAGCCCCGCAGAGAAUGUAUGGAGAAAAGGCUUCUGACCGAGUCCAGGCAGACAGGAUGCUCUUGAAGCACGGGCCGGCCAGCGUAAGCAGUAUUUCUAAGGCUUUUGUUUUCCUGCCCUAGAGAGAUUGUGAGGCAUUCAUAUGCAAGGUCAUCCGAACUUGCCCACAUGUUUACUCCCAGUCCCCAGAAAAGUUGGACCAGCCUUGGCAAGCCUGGGUUUGGCUAUCAAGACAUCCAGACUUGUAAGGAAUUUUAAAGUUUCAAGUCCUUGACAUUUUCAAAGUAGGAGAACACAGUUAAAGAUCACAGGAUUCAGGGACGCCUGGGGGGCUUAGUUACAUGUUCGACUCCUGAUUUUUGACUCGGGUCAUGAUCUCAUGGUCAU